rnacentral:rRNA from 14 species
UAAAGUGUGCUGGAGGUAUCAGAAGUGCGAAUGUUGACAUGAGUAGCGAUAAAGCGGGUGAAAAGCCCGCUCGCCGAAAGCCCAAGGUUUCCUACGCAACGUUCAUCGGCGUAGGGUUAGUCGGCCCCUAAGGCGAGGCAGAGAUGCGUAGCUGAUGGGAAACAGGUUAAUAUUCCUGUACCGAUCUAUAGUGCGAUGUGGGGACGUAGAAGGUUAGCU